CCUCUCUUGAUUCCUCCUUCUUUCUCACGCACGCACACACUCUCGAGCAGCCAUGGCUCCACCACGCGCUGCCUUCCUCUCGACCAUUUCCAGUCGACUCUAGCAUCGGCGUGAUAUGGUUUUGGCCCGCCUCGAGUUGCUCUCUAACCUCCCCUUGCUCGAUUUGAUCCUCAAGGCCUGUCUUGUCCAUCCCCACUCGAGAACCCUAGCCUGAUGUCGGCUUGAUUCAGCCGUUUGCCGGCCGUCUCUGGCGCCGCCGCGGCCUGGAUUAGCUCUAGCGCCCUCUACUCCACACCGCUGCCGCGCUCUACUGCGCCCCCUACUCACGCCCGGCUUGACCAUGGAGAUCCCUGCUCGUCUCCAUCGUCUGCUUCUACUCCUCAACGGCGACCUCCAGUUCUUUGUCGUCGACCUUGAGCCCCAGCUCGAGUUCUUGCUCUACUACUACUAUGUGCUCCUACUCCUCUACCUUUACCCCGACGCCGGCGGGACGGUACUGCAGGUCUGCAACCAUGUUGUCCGUGUACUGGUGCUGGUGGUGCUGCGAUGUCGCUCUGGUGGUGGUGUGGUUGAGGUGAUGCUGGUGGUGGUGGCAUGGUGAUGGUGCCCUGCUGCUGCUACUACCCGUCGACCUUGACGCCGGCGGGACGGUGCCGCGGACGCAACCCCGGCGUCGACUUCUUCUUCUACUGCUGCAAUUGCAAUGUGAGCUAUAUCCCACUCCUCUCGCACACUGUCUAUGACCUUGUGUUAAUCCGUAUGGUGCCAGUGGCUUGGUUAUAAUCUUGCUGAUAUGUUGGUUAUGACAUUUCUGGUAUAUAUCCCCUGAUAAGACAUUGAGUGUGGUUGGCCUAUGCAUAUGUGGUUUCAGAUUGUGCUGAUGAACUUGGGCUGGUCUGUUACUAGUAUUUAUAUCUCUGUUUGGAUGACUAGAUCAUCCCCGACAUGUGUGUCUUGCUGUAAUAUCACUACUGCCAAAACUGAAUGCUUUUAUUCAGUGAACUGUGGGUAUUCAGUUAUGGUUCUGCUUAAUUCGUAUUGGAUUUACAUA